CCCUCAUGGCAAUGCUGGCUGACAGCAUGACUGAGUCCUAUCACUGCUGUUUUAGAGAGGUGUUCCGGAUGCAUUAUACGGAAAGGCCAGACAGCUCAGUGGGCGAAGGAGCUUGCAGCCAAGGCUGAGGACCUGACAGUGAUCCCAGGAGCCCACAUGGUAGAAGAGAACCUCCUCCUGCAAGCUACCCUCUGACCUCCACACAUACCCUAAAAUAAAGAAGUGUUGAAAGUGUAA